CACUCUGCACAGGCCCGUGCCUCCCAGUCACCGCCAAGGUCCCCGGAGAUGGUAAGUUAAGGAAGAAGAGUCUCUGUAUUAACCUGUGUUCUCCAGAGAGACCGAGCAGUAGUAGGACGUGUAUCCAAACGGAGACUCAUCAAGAAGAACUGUCUUGUGUGACCGUGACUGUGGAGGCUGAGCGGUGGCACCUGCUGCGCACCAGCAGGAGGCCGAGGCAAGCCGCAGAUGACUCUGAGUUGAAGCCUGCGCACCAGCAGAGCCGUCGGCGAGAACGAGAACCCCAGUCCUGGGCUGGAGAUCCAGGGCCAGCUCAAGCAGAGAGUUUUCCAGGACCCGUCAAGGUCUACUCUUCCCCUCGGGCCACCCCAGCCAUGGUCAGCUACCAUGGCCAUGGUCAACCACCAAAGGUCUCUGCCCUGUCCCCCAACCUGUUCCUGGUGAGUGGUGGAGCCAGCAGGACAGAGCCCUGGUUCUUGGAUCAAGAGACACCAAUGGAAUGAUGUGGAAGGCUUCAGACAGCAAGUUGGAUCAUCUCGUUUGCACAACGACGAGGCAUUCAAUAGGAGAGCUGGAGCCUGAAGUGGAGCACGCCCUUAAAUGUCGCACCCUGGCCUUCCUGCCGGCUUCACCCUCAUCCCAACCUUGCCUUCCGCCCUCUAAGAGGGGGUGAUUGCCUACAAGGAGGAGACAGGACUCGAAAAGCAGAGCGUCCUGUGCAUGUCCCUCCUUCUUUCCUCAGGGUGGAGAGCAGCAGCCCGCGAGGACAGAGAACCGUCCUCCCCAGCCACCUCGGAGAUCCUGCCCCCGACCUCUGCCUGCAGUCUCAGCACUAAGUGGUGAAGGCCUGUGGAACCCCAAGUGACAGGACUAGCUGAGGGUCCCAACCAUCCCUCGGGUGAGGGGUGCCCAAAGAGCAUGGCUGACACAGCACCUGACAGGUGUUGGAUCCUGCAGGCCCCCAGGCUCCCCUGCCUAGGCCCCUCCCCACUGCCACACCCCCUCCCUCCUCUCUCCUUCCACCACCUGCACAGAAGGCCUAGUUCAAGCCCAGCGGUGCCCCCAGUGGCCCAGGCUGAGUCAGAGGCUCACUGAGGUACUAAGUUCCCGUGCACAUGAAGCAGGGAGGGGGGGAAUAGCAUGGGGGUUGGUGAUGUGGUG